rnacentral:misc_RNA from 1 species
AAGUCGUAACAAGGUUUCCGUAGGUGAACCUGCGGAAGGAUCAUUAACAAAUCUAUGAGCGAAAGCUCAUCAACCUUUGUGAAUUGGGUUGUGUAGUUGGUAACAAUUAUUCAACUUUGUUGGGGACCCUUUGUGUAUGUAAUGUAAUGUAAUAUAAUGUAAUAUAAUGUAAUAUAAUAGAAAGAUUAUUUCGAAAGAUUUAAUUUUUCUAUUGCAUGCAUGCAUAUCAUAUUAUAUCAUAUCAUAUCAUAUAUAAUAUUAACAUUGUCUGAUUAUAGAUUGAAGUCGUAAGAUUUCAAAUAAAAAUACAACUUUUAACAAUGGAUCUCUAGGCUCUU